rnacentral:tRNA from 1 species
GUUAAAAAAGCUAAAGGGGUCUAGCAAAGAGCCUAAAAUUCUUGGGAUCGGGGUUCAAUUCCCCGUUUUAACU